rnacentral:rRNA from 1 species
CUCUAAGCGGUGGAUCCCUCGGUUCUCGGGUCCAUGAAGAACGCAGCCAGCUGCGAGACUUGGUGUGAGUUGCAGGACACUUCCUCUUUGAACGCACAUUGCGGCCUCGGGCCUUCCCGUGGCUUCGUCUGUGUGAGGGUCGG